rnacentral:rRNA from 1 species
UACGUAGGGUGCGAGCGUUGUCCGGAAUUAUUGGGCGUAAAGGGCUCGUAGGCGGUUUUUCGCGUCGGGAGUGAAAACCUCGGGCUUAACUCGGGGCUUGCUUUCGAUACGGGCAGACUAGAGGUAUGCAGGGGAGAAUGGAAUUCCUGGUGUAGCGGUGAAAUGCGCAGAUAUCAGGAGGAACACCGGUGGCGAAGGCGGUUCUCUGGGCAUUACCUGACGCUGAGGAGCGAAAGCGUGGGGAGCGAACAGG